ensembl:lncRNA
CUCACCAGGCCUGUGCAUGUGCAUAGCAUGGGAUACAAGAUAACAAAAACUGAACAAAACCAAAUAAAAAACAUUUGCCUUGGUCUCUAGCUCUGCAGAAGCUGAAGAUUUCAUUGGAGAAGUGGAGCAAAUACAGACUAGCGUCAGCGCGGCAUCAGAUGCCGUGUCCUUUGCCUGCAGUGGGGCUGUGUGGAGGAUCCUGGCUCCUGUUGCUUGGGACAUUCCAUCACAGACGCUCUCCUAGCAACAUGGUGACGCCAGCAAACCCAACAAUGACCUUUUGUCUUUAGCUCUAUAAAGCCUGUGGCCAUGAGUCUCACCAGAAAAUUCAAAGGAUUUUCUUUGCAAGUGAAGAGUGAUUUCUAGCUGAAGCUUUGAAUCCAUUGCUUUCCUCCAACCUGGAAAUACAAAACUGGGCCCUCACCGGAUUGUCGCUUCAGGCGCAAGGCGUACCCGAAGAGGUGCCCUGGAUGGGGAGAAGAUGAGUCUGGAUGGUCCCAGUCCUGGCUCUGUUUAGGGACCCACCUACAUAGCACCAGCAAGCUGUUUAACUCUCAGAUCUUACUGUCUUCAUCUCCACAGGGGAAAAAAAAUGAGAGCAGAUCUACAAGCCAGGUCUGGUUUUAAUCAGAGCAUAAUCUUUAUGAGACAACGCCAGGCUGAGAAUUUUUCAAUCUGAUAUUUUGAAAGAAAAAUCUAUGUUUCACAAUGAUACAAGCCAAUCAGCCUCAGAAGGAUGGAAAAAAGAAAUCUCUUGCAUAAAAGAGAGGCAGGAAAUUCCAGAGAAGUUUCACAGGGAGGAGGGAGAAACCCACAGUCUGUAUCACUAUUUGUGAGCUUAUUUCUUCGUAUAGGAUAAUACUUGGUUUUGUUGAACAACCAAAAAUCAGUUCAGAGGAAAUAGCGGACUUCUCUCUCCCUGAAGUGGGAACAUAACGAUUUACUGAACAUAUUACAAACCCACAAUGUGUCCUGUGAUCCACUGGCCCUUUAAAUAAAUAUUUUGUCCCCUUCAGGGACUCUUCCCAUCUUGGUCAUAGACCCAUCGCAUAUUAGAUGAUUUAAUGCCUGAGUAAUUUGGAGUGUCUCUGUAGACAUUGCUGGAAUUUUUAUAUUUCCAUGUGAUGGUACAUUCCGCUGAUGGGGAGGGGGGAGUAAUUUGGCAGACUUCGGGGUGAGUUGUUGAGAUUUAUAAGCAUUUUCAUAUAAUGCUCAGCUAGAGUGGG